CCUACGGGGAGGCUGCAGUGGGGAAUAUUGGACAAUGGGCGAAAGCCUGAUCCAGCCAUGCCGCGUGUGUGAAGAAGGCCUUCGGGUUGUAAAGCACUUUCAGUGGGGAAGAAAGCCUUGGGGCUAAUACCCUCGAGGAAGGACAUCACCCACAGAAGAAGCACCGGCUAACUCCGUGCCAGCAGCCGCGGUAAUACGGAGGGUGCGAGCGUUAAUCGGAAUUACUGGGCGUAAAGCGCGCGUAGGCGGUCUGAUAAGCCGGUUGUGAAAGCCCCGGGCUCAACCUGGGAACGGCAUCCGGAACUGUCAGGCUAGAGUGCAGGAGAGGAAGGUAGAAUUCCCGGUGUAGCGGUGAAAUGCGUAGAGAUCGGGAGGAAUACCAGUGGCGAAGGCGGCCUUCUGGACUGACACUGACGCUGAGGUGCGAAAGCGUGGGUAGCAAACAGGAUUAGAUACCCGAGUAGUC
rnacentral:rRNA from 1 species